rnacentral:piRNA from 1 species
UGGACAAUAGGUGAAUCUAGACAUGUCGGGU